UCGCCGGCAGAGCCCCGGCGACCUCAUAGGCGAGGCUGCCCACGUGACCCUGCCAGUCACAGAGGCAGCGGCGGCCAUGUUGGAAGAGGGCAAACAGCCGCCAGGACCCGCCCACCCCGCGGAUGCGCUGGACUUCUGGGCCGCAGAACUCGGAGUGGCGAGGAGAAGCGGGAGAGCAAAUUGAGUCCGCAUAGGGCUCCUGAGCCUGGGGACUUGGAGUAAAAACAGCUACCUCAAGCAGGAGGCUCAGUCCCCGCCAAUCGCUGGUAUAACUCUCGAUAGGACGGAGAAGGAGCUCCCCAAUGGGACCCUUCUCAGUGCGAUGGAUGGGAACCUCUUCAGUGCGAUGGAUGUGACCAGCCCAGGCCCUAGGGGAGCAGAGAGUGUUCCACUGAAGAAACCCUCUGCUGGUCCUUUGAGCGCCCGCAGAUAAGAGGGGAGGCACUUUUCCCCGUUCUCAGGGAGCUCCCGAUGGGAUGAGGAAGCCAUGGGCAUGGGAAGUGGGGUUGAGAAGGUGUAACAGCGCUCCAGACUGACCAGAGCGGCCAGGACUGCACACAGGGGAACUUUGCCUCGCUCGGCACUAUAGGGUGAAAGAAGCACAGAAGUUGUCAAGGAACGUGGCCCCUCUUCCUCUCUCAUCUCUCCAGGUGUCUUGUUUCUUUGCUUUAGUCCAGGGGUUUCACUUGCUGAAUAAACUGCCUUGAAAUGUCCUAGUCAUAAA